rnacentral:lncRNA from 1 species
GGCGUGGAGAGUCUGCUGUGAGGCAGAGGCUGGGCCUGUGCAGGCCUUCGGGAGGCAGGAGGCCGGGCCUUGUCGAGGCCUGCAGAGGCCACCAAAAGUCAAAAGCAGGGCCUGGGAAGGCCGCCAGGAGGCAUGAGCUGGGCUGGGCUGAAAGAGGCCACUGGGAGGCAGGAGGAGCUGGGCCUGGAGAGGCUGACUCGAGGAACUUUUGCAUCCAGAGAGGCCGCCGAGAGGCCGGAGCUGGGCCUGGGGAGGCCGACUUGACAACAGUCUGGGCCUGCAGAGGCGCUGAGAGGAAGAGCUGGGCCUGGAGAGGCCGACUGGAGGAAGUCCAGGGCCUGGAGAAGAUGCAAAGCAGCAAACGCUAGGCUAGGAAAGGCCACUUCACGGCAUGAUCUUGGCCUACAAAGGCAAUUGCGAGGCAGGAGCUUGGCCUGUAGAGGCUGCCGAAAGGCAGGAGCUUGGCCUUAGGAGGCUAUGAUCAGGC